GGGGGGGGGGGGGGGGGGGGGGGGCGGGGGGGGGUCGGGGGGGGGGGGCGUGCUGGGGGGGGGUGCUGGGGGGGCGGGCGGGUGGGGAACGCGUGGGUAACCGGCCCUUGCCUGUGGGAUGACGUCAGGACGCUGGGGCUCCUCCCGGAUGGGCGCUCCUGCGGCCUGGUGGGGGUUGGCAAGCUUCGGCGGUUGGGGAUGUACUCGCGGCUCCUCAGCGUGUUGGUGGGGUAGUGUCCUACCAAGGCUUUGACCGGUAGCCGGCCUGAGAGGGUGAGCGGCCAAAUUGGGACUGGAAUACGGCCCAGACUCCUACGGGAGGCAGCAGUGGGGAAGAUUGCACAAUGGGCGGAAGCCUGAUGCAGCAACGCCGCGUGCGGGAUGACGGCCUUCGGGUUGUAAACCGCUUUCGCCUGUGACGAAGCGUGAGUGACGGUAAUGGGUGAAGAAGCACCGGCUAACUACGUG
rnacentral:rRNA from 1 species